rnacentral:rRNA from 1 species
AGAGUUUGAUUAUGGCUCAGAUUGAACGCUGGCGGCAUGCCUUACACAUGCAAGUCGAACGGCAGCACGGGAGCAAUCCUGGUGGCGAGUGGCGAACGGGUGAGUAAUACAUCGGAACGUGCCCAAUCGUGGGGGAUAACGCAGCGAAAGCUGUGCUAAUACCGCAUAAGAUCUACGGAUGAAAGCAGGGGAUCGCAAGACCUUGCGCGAAUGGAGCGGCCGAUGGCAGAUUAGGUAGUUGGUGAGGUAAAGGCUCACCAAGCCUUCGAUCUGUAGCUGGUCUGAGAGGACGACCAGCCACACUGGGACUGAGACACGGCCCAGACUCCUACGGGAGGCAGCAGUGGGGAAUUUUGGACAAUGGGCGCAAGCCUGAUCCAGCCAUGCCGCGUGCAGGAUGAAGGCCUUCGGGUUGUAAACUGCUUUUGUACGGAACGAAAAGGUUCUCUCUAAUAAAGAGGGCUCAUGACGUACCGUAGAUAGCCCG